CAACAUUUUUUACAAGGGCUUGUUUAUUUUUGCGAGGGGGAGACAUGGGUUUUUAUUUACCAGCAUUAUGACAAGGACUUAGUGAUGUCUGGGUCGAGGAUUGGGACAAAUUCAAGCUUUAUCUAAAGCAAUUUUUACAAGCUCUCGCAAUAUUAUAUGAAGGGAAGAAUAUGUAUCAUGGAAACUUAAGAGACUACAACUUGGUAACAAGUGGGGAUAGAGCCUUUGUUAGUGGAGUUGAGAGAAAUCAUCUUCCUGAUGGUUUUCAAGAUCAAUUUUUUACUGAUGAGAUAGACACUCUACGUGGACUUUUAUUAGCUUCACAUAAUCUCGGUCAAUCUUCAAAGGAAAUCGAUCUGUUUUUAGAUUUUAUACGAACGUGUAAAUCAUGGAAUAUGAUUUUUUGUCAUCCGA